rnacentral:rRNA from 1 species
AACCUGGUUGAUCCUGCCAGUUGCCAUAUGCUUGUCUCAAAGACUAAGCCAUGCAUGUCUAAGUUCAACGUAAUCAAUACGUGAAACCGCGAAUGGCUCAUUAAAUCAGUUACUAUUCAAUUGUUUGCUUACUCUCCCAGUUAUAUGAAUAACUGCGGUAACCCUGCAGCUAAUGCAUGCGAAGUGGUACUUAGUCGCCUUUGUGUUCGAGUACAACUUUUACUUGCCUAAUAGCCCGAGGCCAGAGAAAUCAGGACCCUAACAUGUUGAAUGCUGAAGUAACUGCUUGACGUUCACACACCUUACGUUGGUGGAACGCAACUCAUUCGAAUUUCUGCCCUAUCAACUUUGACGGUAGUGUAACGGACUACCGUGGUUGUGACGGGUGACGGGGAAUCAGGGUUCGAUUCCGGAGAGGGAGCCUGAGAAACGGCUACCACUUUUAAGAAAGGCAGCAGGCACGCAAAUUACCCAAUGUCGGUACGACGAGGUAGUGACGAAGAAUAACGAUAUGAACCUAUAAAGGUUUGUAAUCGGAAUGGAAUAGAUGUAACGCAUCUAUUGAGGAUCUAGUAGAGGGCAAGUCUGGUGCCAGCAGCCGCGGUAAUACCAGCCUCUACAAGCAUAUGCAAAAGUUGCUGCGUUUGAAAAGCUCAUAGUUGGAUCUGUUGAAUGACACGAGUGUAACAACGGCGGUGAAUACCUUAGUUGUCGCUUUGCCGUUCAGUCUCCCUGUCAAGUAUAUUUGCACUUUAUUGUGUUGAAUAUACGCGAUAGGGUAAUCACCUUGAGU